GACGGAGGGUGCAAGCGUUGUUCGGAAUUACUGGGCGUAAAGCGCGGGCAGGUGGCCUUUUAAGUCCUUUGUGAAAUUCCGGAGCUCAACUCCGGAUGUGCAUAGGAUACUGGAAGGCUAGAGACUGGUAGAGGCGAGCGGAAUUCCUGGUGUAGCGGUGGAAUGCGUAGAUAUCAGGAAGAACACCGGUGGCGAAGGCGGCUCGCUGGGCCAGUUCUGACACUCAUACGCGAAAGCGUGGGGAGCAAACAGG
rnacentral:rRNA from 1 species